UGCGUGGCUGCACUCCUUUGUUUGAAAGAAUGUCAGUUAUUCACAAGCACAGGGAUGGUCUUACCCAUAUCAUACUUGAAGUAGCACAAUUGGCAUGGGAGCAGAGUGCAUGCAUCAGCAAGCCAUCCAUUGCCUUAUCAGAAAGAGAGCUCAAGUUUCUGGGAAGUCAAACCUACAGCGAGCAUUUUUUACGCAACUCUACAUUUCUUCGUGUGCCUCUUGAUGGUCUGCUUUGUUCUCCUUUUUAGUAGUUAUUUUUCAGAUAGCUGUAUCACUAUUGUGUGUAUUCAGCAAUAAAACCUCCAUUGGUAGUCAGUGCUUGUGUCUACGUCCUCGUUUAACCUUUGCACUGUACACUCACGAUAAUGGAUCAACAACUAGCUUAAUAAGCUGCCCUUGUAAAUUCUUAUAGGAGAUGCUCCUUCAAGUUUGUAUUCAUGGCUAAUUUUCCCUUGUGUGCAUGUUUUAGUAAUAAGCUAAUUUGAAAUAUUAAUUAAAACCUUUUAUAACAUCUUGUUUGGUGAAAGUAUUUUAAGAGUUUGUGAACUCUGGUCAUGAUUAUCUGUUUAUCUUGGCUAUUGCAGGACAAAAGGAUUAAAUGUUACCCCUGUCCUGUGUCAAAUCCAUCUGAUCAAUUCUCUAACCUCGGUCUUGUCACGCACCUAAUGCUUUCAUGGUGCAGUUUGCUUAAAUUCUCCCAUCUGAUGACUCACGGUUCAACUGUUUGAUAUUAUUUCAUGGAAAUGGUUGCGCUUCAGUGCUGUUGCAUAUUGUUUCUUGUGUAUUGUUUGAUGUCGAAGGUUGAUGCAUGCUUUUUUAAACAUCAGGUACCCAAAUAAAUUGUGCAAUGUUGCUGCAAGGAGCCUCGUAAACCAGUACCCAGCACUGAGGGACACAUUGCACCUUGGCCAUUUCUCAUGGUAUAUGUGCCUAAGAAACAAGUACAAAAACAUGCGAAAGUGAAUGCCACCAGGAUGCCCUGAAGUCGAUGCAGAAGUGAAAGCAAGAAAGGCAAGCGAAAUCGUGACACAUGCUCAAAAUCUGGAUUUUGAAGACGGGUGAUCAGCUGCAAGUUUGCAUGCAUAUUUCACUAGAUAAACUGACUCUCCUUUCUUUGUUAUGUGGCUUAGUUGAAACAUUUAGUUGCUUCUCUUGAUGUACUUGUUCGUUUCAUUUACAUUUUUUCUUUAAAAAAUGCAAACAUGCAAUCUAGCUAUAGCAACUAUAUCUGCAAUGCUGUCACCAGAGAUUUUGUAGGUGAUCAAAGAACCAAAAUAUCAUAUCGCAUCGCCACCUUGAACCUAGAGUGAAACAUUAGUUCAAGAUGUAGUGGUAGGUGCAUUUAUAGAUUAGUAAUACAGCAUUCAUACUGUAAUGUAUAUUGAUAUACAUGCUAAGAUGUAGCGAAAAGUGUGUGGCUAUGCUGCUCUGACACUUCAGUUGUUUUAACCUUUCAUUGAUGAGUUCUGCAUACAGCAUACCAAAAAAUUAUAAUUUUUCUUGCUGAUUUUUGGCAUUGAGUAAGAAGUUUCUUGUUAAAUGUAUUGAGCCAACACUGAAUGACUGGCAGCUAGUGUCAUUUGUCGGUUUAGAGCAGAAACACAAGAUGGGAAAAAAAGACAUGGGACUCGUUUUCUUUGGAAAGCACGGUCAGGGGAGACAGACCAGUGCAAGAUCUGCUGUAGUGACCUCAGACACACAAUGCAAAGAGCUCUCUGUAUAGAUUCCAAACGCAGCCAUAUGUCGCUUGGGGAGAAGCCCACUUCUUCCCCUAUACUAUAAAGGAGUUUCUACAAAAUAUCCUUUAUUUUUGUUGAUUAUGCUUAUUCUCAAUGUCUUUUGCACAUUUAGGAAAAUAAUUUGUUUUGUAUUUAUAUGCGUGGUCAUUAAAGGGUUAGACAAAUAAAGUGGUUCCAAUGAAUGUGAAUGUAUAACUUUAGCGACUCUAGUCGCAAUGUGUUGAUCAUUCCACAAUCUUUGUGAGAGCACGAAACAGGAACUAGGCAGCAUGAAAAUCACUCAGCAGUACCAAGAAGGAAGCUUCAGCACUUAUACAGUACUGCAGAAUACACUUCUUCUAUGCUGUACCUGUGGUGUCCUUUUUAUUAUGUGGUCUUGAUCCCACUAUGGGGAAAUAACGCUGCUUUGCAAGUGCAUUGCAGUACUUUAAUACUUUAACUGCUUGCUGCAAAAGGAAAGUGCCAUUAGAGUAUUACAUAAGGAUCAUGUGUUAUGAGGCAGUUGCUAGACGUGGUAUGUCACAGCACUGAGUUGCCGGCGGCCAUUAUAAUUAGCUGUUUUCUGUGGCAUUGUUAACUUGACAGAACAUAGUGAGCAUUAUUUGAUCAAUAAACAAUACUACAUAAUUCUGGCCCUUAUUUGGAACUUUGUCUCAUCUCUGUGAUGCGCGCAACCCGCUUUUGAUGUUACUGAGAUGGAGUGACUCCUUGCAAAGCAGCAGGGUAGUUCUGUUAAUGAUGCUGUCAUUCACACUUACGCAGAUUGUUUAGUAGGCAUUAGCUCAGUGCCAUUCCCCCAUAGAAUCACAGCUUGCAUUUCAUUCAUGUAUAAUAGAAACAUUCUGUAGAUUUCAUGUGAAAAUGUGACAUUGGAGGGCAUUAUGCUAUAAGUUCACAGCAGUGAGCCCCAUUAUUGGAAGACAGCUGUUGUCUCAAAUUACUUACAGCAAAGUGAAGCCAUGUACAUUCUUGCCUUAACUACUGCAGUUUAGUAUGGGCCACAAUGACCAAAACAAACAUAAAUAAGGUUCUCGUAUUGCAAAAGAAAAUUGUUCGAAUAAUCGCUAAUUUUGAUAAUACAACUACCUCCAAAUGUGCUUUUGAAGCACAUAACAUUGUCCGCGUCAAUCAUUUGUAUAACUUUAAGUUGUUACAAAAAAUUUAUUUCUCAAUGGCAUCCACUGCCGAUUUUUAUUCUACUCUGGCAUCUUUGGACAUGCGUCGUGCUAACAUACUCACAAGACCUAGUAAUACAUAGAUUAUACCAUGUUUUCGCGCUAAUUAUAAAUUGCAAAUGUUGUCUUAUAACCUGCCCCAUGUUCUAAAAGGGUAUACCAAAGCUGAGCUGCGGAAAUAUUUUGUUGAAAUGUGAUUUUAUGUGUUGAAAUGUGAUUUUAUGUCUUUGCUAGUAGAUGCUGCAUGUUUGCUUGGUUAUUACUUAUUGUUUCUGAACAUAAGUGUGACCAUUUCAGCGUUUCGAUUUUACUGUUCAAAUUUUGUGCAAAGAUUAUGACUCUGUAUGCAUAAAUAGUGAAUGUUUCUCUUUAUUGAAUGUGACUAUUCUAUGUGUGUCUGUUGAAGAUUUCCUGCACCACUCGUGUGCUACUGCUUGUAGGGGUUUCCUGGACACGGUCAAGCUGUGCAGGCAGCUUUUUGCCAAAAACCUACCCUCCAGUUGAAUCUGGAAAAUGAACUUAUAACCUUAUACUUAUUUAAGUAUGUUCUGCCUAUUGUGUAUCCACAUGUGUGGGCUUGUAAUAUGCCCUGAAGGCAAGGCCAUUUGUGGUUCGUUCAAAAAGAACAUUUACGGAUGCAUUAUAGCUAUUCUCAGGCUCCUCUCUUCCUGCUGUAAACUGGAUUCUCUGCUUAUAAGAAAUAAGUGUUCCUUGUGAUUACUAUAUGUGCCCUUGCUAAAGGUUACUGUGAUGUGUUCAUGUUCUUAUUGAAUAAAAUGUUUACAAAGUUUUAA